GUGAUACUCCCUUUGUUCGGAAUUAUUUGUCUCGGAUAUGGAUGUAUCUAGAAUUAAAAUAUAUCUAGAUACAUUCAUUUUUACGACAAAUAAUUUCAAACGGAGGGAGUACAAA
rnacentral:pre_miRNA from 1 species